rnacentral:rRNA from 1 species
UACGUAGGGGGCAAGCGUUGUCCGGAUUUAUUGGGCGUAAAGAGCGUGUAGGCGGCUAGGUAGGUCCGUUGUGAAAACUCGAGGCUCAACCUCGAGACGCCGAUGGAAACCAUCUGGCUAGAGUCCGGAAGAGGAGAGUGGAAUUCCUGGUGUAGCGGUGAAAUGCGUAGAUAUUGGGAGGAAUACCGGUGGCGAAGGCGGCUCUCUGGACCGGUACUGACGCUGAUGCGCGAAAGCGUGGGUAGCAAACAGG